rnacentral:rRNA from 1 species
AGAGUUUGAUCCUGGCUCAGAUUGAACGCUGGUGGCAUGCUUAACACAUGCAAGUCGAACGGUAACAGGUCUUCGGAUGCUGACGAGUGGCGGACGGGUGAGUAACGCGUAGGAAUCUGCCAUCUGUGGGGGAUACCAGUUGGAAACGACUGUUAAUACCGCAUAAUAUCUGCGGAUUAAAGGUGGCCUUUGCGCUGCCGCAGAUGGAUGAGCCUGCGUUGGAUUAGCUAGUUGGUGGGGUAAGGGCCUACCAAGGCUACGAUCCAUAGCUGAUUUGAGAGGAUGAUCAGCCACAUUGGGACUGAGACACGGCCCAAACUCCUACGGGAGGCAGCAGUGGGGAAUAUUGGACAAUGGGGGAAACCCUGAUCCAGCAAUGCCAUGUGUGUGAAGAAGGCUCUAGGGUUGUAAAGCACUUUAGUUGGGGAGGAAAGCCUGUGAGUUAAUAGCUUGCAGGAAGGACGUUGCCCAAAGAAUAAGGACCGGCUAACUCCGUGCCAGCAGCCGCGGUAAUACGGGGGGUCCGAGCGUUAAUCGGAAUUACUGGGCGUAAAGGGUCUGUAGGUGGUUUGUUAAGUCAGAUGUGAAAGCCCAGGGCUCAACCUUGGAACUGCAUUUGAUACUGACAAACUAGAGUAUGGUAGAGGAAUAGGGAACUUCUGGUGUAGCGGUGAAAUGCGUAGAGAUCAGAAGGAACACCAAUGGCGAAGGCAACAUUCUGGACCAAUACUGACACUGAGGGACGAAAGCGUGGGGAUCAAACAGGAUUAGAUACCCUGGUAGUCCACGCUGUAAACGAUGAGUACUAGCUGUUGGAUUCGGUGUAAAGGAUCUAGUGGCGCAGCUAACGCGUUAAGUACUCCGCCUGGGGACUACGGCCGCAAGGCUAAAACUCAAAGGAAUUGACGGGGACCCGCACAAGCGGUGGAGCAUGUUGGUUUAAUUCGAUGCAACGCGAAGAACCUUACCUGGUCUUGACAUCCUGCGAACUUUCUAGAGAUAGAUUGGUGCCUUCGGGAACGCAGUGACAGGUGCUGCACGGCUGUCGUCAGCUCGUGUUGUGAAAUGUUGGGUUAAGUCCCGCAACGAGCGCAACCCCUAUUGAUAGUUACCAUCAUUAAGUUGGGUACUCUAUUGAGACUGCCGCUGACAAGGCGGAGGAAGGUGGGGACGACGUCAAGUCAUCAUGGCCCUUACGACCAGGGCUACACACGUGCUACAAUGGGUAUUACAGAGGGCUGCGAAGGUGCGAGCUGGAGCGAAACUCAGAAAGGUACUCUUAGUCCGGAUUGCAGUCUGCAACUCGACUGCAUGAAGUCGGAAUCGCUAGUAAUCGCAGGUCAGAAUACUGCGGUGAAUACGUUCCCGGGUCUUGUACACACCGCCCGUCACACCAUGGGAGUGGGUUGCUCCAGAAGUAGAUAGCUUAACGAAUGGGCGUUUACCACGGAGUGAUUCAUAACUGGGGUGAAGUCGUAACAAGGUAGCCGUAGGGGAACCUGCGGCUGGAUCACCU